UCUCUUUCUCAGGAAAUGCGGUUGCCUCACCCUAGUUCCGAGGGACAUUUUGUUCCGGGCCGUAAACUGUGAAUCGCGGCUUGGUCGCCGUGGCCACUUUUGUUUUGCUUUGCUGCCGUCACUAUGAUUCCCCUGCCUGUGGUGGUCUGCGUGCUGGGGGGUUGGUGCACCAUAUACAUAACCGACACGGUACUGAAGUCAUCUUCUCUGAAAGAGCCUUAUGAGGAAUGGCUUGUAUCCUAUGGACUGUCAGUCUCUCCAUUCCAUGUGCGAUGGCAGACAGCUUUUUUCAACCGCCUUUUCUACACCUGGGGAAGAUGGAAGCCAAGAUUUCUUUAUCUCUGGUUUAACAUAGGGAUGGUUUUUGGCAUAGCAGCUAUGUUUGGUUCUGUGGUUCUGCUUGGGAAGACAUUGACACAGACUCUGUCACAGAUGUUAACUGAAAACCCUGCUAGUCAAAGUGAUCAAAUGCUGCAGGUUGUGGUACCUGGUGUAAACCUUCCCAUCAGCCAGCUGUCCUAUUUCUUCACAGCAAUCCUCAUCAGUGGUAUUAUACAUGAAGUUGGUCAUGGAGUGGCAGCUAUUAGAGAACAAGUUCGGUUUAAUGGCUUUGGAAUUUUUAUAUUUAUUGUCUAUCCUGGAGCAUUUGUUGACCUAUUCACUACUCACUUACAACUAAUAUCUCCCAUUCAGCAGCUAAGAAUAUUUUGUGCAGGUGUCUGGCAUAACUUUGUGCUUGGUGUUGUGGGUCUUGUAUUUCUCUUCUUUCUACCUGCUAUUCUUUAUCCAUUUUAUUACACUGGUGCAGGAGCACUUGUUACUGAAGUCACUCAGGAUUCUCCUGCUAAUGGUCUUAGAGGUCUUUUUGUUGGUGACCUUGUCACCAGUCUGCAAGAUUGCUCAGUUUAUAGUGUGGAAGACUGGAAUGCCUGCCUGGGAAAGAUCUAUCAGAAGCCACAAAAUGGCUAUUGCAUAAAAUCAUCAAUACUACAGCAGCUAAGCUUCUCAACUAGAGGUUUUAAAAGACUUGAUGGCACUGUUGAAUGUUGUAACAACAAUAGCCUCUCAGAUAUCUGCUUUUCAUACAGUAAUAAUCUGAACAGCCACAUGCCUCCAGCUUCUUACCUUUGCUUUUCGGACUGAAUCUCGAGCCGCUGGUCGCAGAACACCUGCCUUGCUUCGCCUGCUGCAAUCCAUCUCAUUGGCAAGCAACUGAAUCUGCCUGCCUGCCUGCCUUCUGCCUUCAAUUGGUAGCAACCUUUAACAGGAAGGAUGAAAAGGCAACAGACUUUGGUCGGUUUCUUGGCCAAGAAACCAAAACUGGCACAACAACCAUCAGAAUUGGCCUUGGAUGAUCCAAAACUAUCACAAGCACCACAAGCACCACCAUUUCCACCACUUGAACUUGGACUCGGAGAAAGCAGCAAGUCAAGUAUUGAGUCACCCGAGCCCAAAAUUGAAAUAAUUCUUCCUGACUGCUGGACAUUGCAACAGUACAGCAACUUCCAAGAGAAGUAUGAGGGAUUGGAAGUUUCAAACAAGAAACUAGGUUGCAAGUACUGUGUGACACAUGAGUUCACAAUAGAGAGCAGUGUUCAUGUGUCCAAAGAAUGGAAGCAUUUCAAGAUUGAGGCAUCUGGGAAAAAUAAGGAAGUGCAGCAUGCGUCUCUAAGGAAGAAAAUGAGAGAACAUUUCACAUGGAAAUCGCACACCAUUUGUAGAGACAACGUAAAACAAGGGGAGCAGGAUGCCAUAACAAAAGCUAUGGGCAAGAUAUCUGAAAAGUGUUUAGGCACCACUUGUAAAAUGUUCAAAACUGUUUACAGCCUGGCAAAAGCAUGUAGACCAAUUUCAAGCAUAGAAGAAUUGAUAGAAUUUCAAACUGAAAAUGGAGUAGAUUUGGGAAUAGGAUUGCAUUCAAGGCCAACAGUUGUGAAAAUAGUUGAGUGCAUUGCAAAUGAAAUUAAAACCGAAAUGUUUACCAGCAUCAUUGCACAGAAUCUGAAAAUAUGUUUGAUCAUUGACAAAGCAUCAACAGUAUCCUGCAAACCAGUUUUGAUAGUUUUCGUAAAAGUUGAGGACUCAGAGAACCCACCAACAAUUUUUGUUGAGCUUGUUGAAUUGAAGAAACAAGAUGCAGAGACAAUAUGUUCUGCAGUUCUGGAAAGUUUACGCAAAGUUGGGUUUACCCAGAACUACCUACAAAAAAAUUUAAUAGCGUUUUGCUCUCAUGGUGCCAGCGUUAUGCUUGGGAGAAAAUCUGGAGUGAGCACUAGAAAGCAAAAGAGUUUCCAAACAUCAUCAUAUGGCUUGAACCAUCGCCUCCUACUUGUUUUAGAUGACACCAUAAAGGAAAUAAAGCAAGUAAAUCAUUUUAAAAUAUUUAUAGAUAAGAUAUGUUCUAUUUUUCAGCAAUCCAAUAAAAACCGAAUUGAACUUGACAAAAUAUCUGAAGAACUUGACAUUAACAUCGUAAAGAUUGGUAGAGUUUUUGGGGCAAGAUGGGCUGCCUGUAACUUAUGGGCAACCCUAGCUGUAUUGGCGUGCUUAUCCAGCGCUACAUCAGUAUUUUCAUGCGAAUGCAAAAUACUCGGGUAUGGCUGCCCGUCUGGAAAAUAAAUAUUUUCUAAAUGAUUUGGCAUUGAUGAUCUAUAUUCUGGAAGAAAUCUCACUUCUUUCAACUGCACUGCAAGCAAGUAAUACGGACAUAAUAAAGGCUGAAAAACUGGUGAGAAGAUCAAUGAAAGCAUUUGAACUGCUUACAAAGGGAAAGGGUCCAUAUGAAAGAAAAGUUGAUGGACUAAUUACUUCAGAAACCUUCAAAAAUAUAAACUUUGUAGAAAAUCAUCGAUUUGUUGGACUUCAUUGGGAAAGACUUUUAGGAAGCAUCAUAACAAAUUUGCAGAAAAGACUAAUGGACUAUGAACAUUUAAAAACAGGUAGCCAAUUGCAGGACACCAUGAAUAAAUUACAGUUUCUACAUUUUUUUGGUGCCAGAGUACUGGGAUUUUGCAGAAGUAGUAGUUUCAGGGACAGCAGCUGAAGAACAACUGCGCACAUUUGGUGACAUUUUCAAUUACAACAUUAACAUCAACGACUAUAGAGAUUUUGUGGAGAAUAUGUUAAAAGAUUCGAAGAACUAUGCAAUUCCUGACAGUAUUAAAAAGCUAAAGAUAUUGUCAGAACAAUUGCUAUAAGUUCUUCAGAAGCGAAAAGGGUUUUUUUGAAAAUGAACAUCAUAUGUUCAGAGAGUAGAAGUCACCUAACCGUUUCUAAUUUAACCAACCUCAUGACUAUCAAUAUUACUGGACUACCUCUUCCAAAAUGGGACCCUAUUCCUGCAGUGAAAAAGUGGUUAAGAGAACACCAUCGCUCAGCCGAUGAUCCGAGAAUCAAGCUCAAGAAAAGUAGAAGUGAGUGCCAAUGAAAAAACGAUGUGGAAACAUCUUAAAAUUAAAGAGUAACACUUUUAUGUCAUUAUUAUCAUUGGUGCAAAGAAGUGACAUCAAAGACAACACUUUUAUUGCUCUUACGUCAUAAGGGCAAAGAAGUGACGUCAACUUGGCCAUGCCCACUUGGUCACAUGACCACCAAGCCACGCCCACUUGGUCACAUAGCCACCAAGCCACGCCCACCUGGUCACAUGGCCACCAAGCCAUGCCCAUGCCCACCCAGUCACAUGACUACCAAUCCACACCCACAGAACCGGUUUGAUCUCGUCGCCUGGCUCUGCAAGAGGCAGAGGUCUCCCGAAGCCCGGAGCAGCAGCGAAGGAAAUAGGGAGCCUCAUCCUGCUUCGUCCCCAAGAGUAAAAGAAAAACUCUGGGGACUUUGCAGAGGGCUCUACCUGCCCUCACCUGCUCUAUCUCACAUUUCCUUAUGGAAAUGGAGUUUUUCGAGCCGCCUUUCAGAUGUAAAGGCGGCUCUUUACGAGCGACGGGGCUGGGGGUCUCAAAGGACCGUCUGAUGGCAACGGAAGUCAAACCGGAAGCUGAGUUGAAGAUAUUCUUUAGUGUGAAUAAAAAAGAAGAUACAUCAAUACAAAACCUUUGGGACACGCUAAAGGCAUACAUCCGUGGACGGACAAUGGCUUAUAACGCAAGGAAGAAGAAGGAAAGGAAAUGUCAACAAGAAAAACUACAGAAAGAACUUUAAAAGUUAGAAAGAAAAUUACAGGAAGAUUCCCAAAAUAAAAAAAUAAAAGAGGAAUGGAAUAUAGACAUAAAAUAAAUUUAACAAUCCAAAUGGAAAUAGUGCAGAAAAUAAAGAUGUCAAAACAAAAAAAAUUUGAACAUGUGAAUAAAACGGGUAGAUGAUUGGCCUAUAAAUUAAAAAAAGAUAAAAGAAUGAUAUAUCAAUUGAAAGAUGAAAAUGGAAUAACCCAAAACAAAAGGGAGGACAAAAAGGAAAUUAUACAAAAGUUUUUCUCAAAUCUAUACUGCCAGGAAGAGAUAGCAGAAGAAAAAGUUAAAGACUAUAUAGAGGGAACAAACUUGUGUAAAAUUACGGAGGAACAACAAGAAAUACUAAAUAGACCGAUAACUGAAACAGAAUUUGAUAUGGCAAUGAGAAAAUAAACAAAACACCGGACCCGGACGGACUCCCAGUAGAGUUAUAUAAAAAUACUCAAGAAAUGCUGGGGUGGGGGGGGGAAUGAUGUUGGAAAUAUUCAAUUUGAAUAUUGAAGGUGUUUUAGGUGGAUGUUUUAGGUGUAUUUUAGGCAAAUACACCUAAAACAUGGACAGAAGCAAUAAUCACCCUUAUUCCCAAAGAGGAUACAGAUCAUCAACAAAUACAGAACUACAGACCAAUAUCAUUGUUAAAUACUGAUUACAAGAUAUUUAUGUCAAUCAUAGCUGAAAGAACAAAAAAAAUCUUCAACAAACAUACAUUCAGAUCAAAAUGGUUUCCUGCCAGGUCGACAAAUUAAAAACAAUAUGAGAACAAUAAUAAAUACCCUAGAGUUUUGUGAAGCAAAUCUGGAAAAACAAGCUUCACUGGUUUUCCUUGAUGCCCAAAAGGCAUUUGAUAAUUUGAACUGGAAAUUUAUGUUAAAUCAAUUGAAAUUUAUGGAAUUUGGGACUAAAUUUGAAAAUAUGAUUGGAAAGAUUUACACAAAACAAACGGCGAGGGUAAUCAUGAAUGAAGAUAUGACAGGGAAAUUCCAUAUAACAAAGGGGGCGAGACAAGGAUGCCCACUUUUUCCACUUCUAUUUAUAUUAACUUUAGAAACACUUUUGAAGAGAAUUAGAGAAGAUCAAGAAAUAAAAGGGUUAAAGAUAAAGACAGAAGAAUAUAAGCUUCAGGCUUUUGCCGAUGAUUUGGUGUUUAUAGUGGAGGAACCAUUAGAACAGGCCCAAAAUUUAUUUAAAAAAUAGAAGAAUUUGGCAAAGCAGCGGGACUUAAAAUUAAUAAAAAUAAAUCUAAAUUAUUAACUAAAAAUCUUACAAAGAUACAAGAGAAGGAAUUAGAAUGCAGUACAAAAAUUCAAAUAACCAAGAAAAUAAAAUUUGCCUUACGUAAAGGGAUUUGCCUUACUGCAAGAUGCUCCUCAAUUAAGGAAGACAAUUAUGACAAAUUACUACUGCAAAUUAAAAAAGAUUUAGACAAUUGGAAAAAUUUACAAAUUUCAUUUAUAGGAAGGAUCAUUAUGAUCAAAAUGAAUAUUUUGCCCAAAAUACUAUUCCAAGUUAUACCAGUAAAAUUAGAGAAGACUUUCUAUGAAACAUUAAAUAGAACAAUUACCAAAAGUAUAUGGCAAGGAAAAAGACUGAGAAUUAGAUUAAAAACAUUGCAAGACACAAAAGAUAGAGGAAGAGUAGCACUCCCAGAUUGGGAAAUAUAUUAUCAAGCAUCUUGUAUAACCUGGCUGAAAGAAUGGAUGGAGUUAAGGGACAAAAGAACAUUAGUGAUUGAAGGGCACGAUUUGCAAGUGGGAUGGCAUGCAUUCCUUUGGGACGAAAAAUAUAAAAUACAUGGCUACUUUAGAAGACACAUACUAAGGAAUGCAUUGCUACAAAUUUGGAUCAAGAUUAAAAAAACAUUACACAAAAAUACCCAUUUGGAUUUCACCUACAGAAAUAUUAAAACAUCCAAAUUUAACUGAGUGGGACAAGAUAAUAAGAUAUAGAGAUAUAUUAAAAGAACAAGGAAAUCUGAAAACAAAACGAAUUGGAACAAGAUCUAAAUAGAGAAGUCGAUUGGACAUAUAUGCAAAUUCGGUCGAAAUAUAAAGAAAAAAAAUUAAAUGCGAUACACACUGAACAAAAUGAGUUGGACAAAAUUAUACAAGGGAUGGAGGAGAAAUUAAUCAGUAGAAUAUACAAAUUUUUGCUGCGAUAUAAAAUGGAAGAAGAAAUAGUUAAGGAUACAAUGAUUAAAUGAGCAAAAACCUUUAACCACACAAUAGAAUUGGAGAAAUGGGAAAAAAUGUGGCAAAUAAGGAAAACCAGUUGAAGAUGUUUCAGAGAUGGCAUCUACCCCUGGCUAGACUUGCAAAGAUGUGUCCGAGUAAAUCUCCAGUGUGUUGGAAAUGUAACGAGCUAUGGAACACACUACCACCUUUGGUGGACAUGUCCAGCUGCAAAGAAGUUCUGGGCUAAAAUUAAAGAAUGGCUAGAAAAAAUAAUAAAACAACCUAUAAGCGGAAAACCAGAGACAUUCUUAUUAGGGAUAUUUACGGAAAAAUAUACCAAGGAAAUAAAAUAUUUGAUCUUACACAUUAUAACAGCUGCCAGUAUAGUAUAGGGACAAAACUGGAAAAAACCCCGCAUGUAAUUAAAAUGCCUUAUUUUUAUGCUUUCUUUAAGAAAAAUAUGUAUAUGUAUGAUCAAUUAUGUAUAAGAGAAUGUACAUUUACAUUGUGUGUACAAGAAAUAAAAAUUUAAAAAAAAUCAAAA